CUUCAUUAUAGACCAAAUGAACAUCAUAGCUAUUUACAUAACAUUUCAUCCAACAGCUGCAGAACGCACAUUCUUUUUCUCAGCACAUGGAUUAAUCCCUAGGAUAAACCAUAUUAUGUUAUAAAACAAGUCUUAAAAAAUCCAAAAAAUUAAAAUAAUAUUAGGCAUUUUAUAUGAAGAACGAUGAAGCAAAACUAGAAAUUAAAAACAAAAGAAAUUUUGAAAACCACCCAAACACGUGAAAAUUAAACAAUAUGCUCCUGAUCAGUGAGUCUAUGAAAAAUUUUAAAAAAUUAAAAAAAAAUUUGAAACAAAUGAUAAUGGAAAUGUGACAUACCAAAACCUGAGGAAUACAGCAAAAGCAGUAAUAAGAGGGAGGUUUAUAGCUAUAAAUCCCCACAUUAAAAAAGAAGAUAAAGUUCAAAUUAACAACCUGACAAUGCAUCUGAAAUAACUUGAAAAGCAAAGGUAAGCCAAACCAAACUAAAAAUUAGUAUAGGAAAAGUAAUAAUAGAGAUCAGAGCAGAAGUAAAGAUUGAAAUGGAGAAAAAAACACAAGAGAUUAAUAAAAUAAGAAGUUUGGUUUUUUUAUUUUUAUUUUUUAAGUUAAACAAAAUUCACAAACGUUUAGCCAGACUAAGAAAAAAACAGAGCAUAACUGAAUAAAUUAAACCAAAAAUAACAAAGGAGACAUUCUGUGAUCGUUUAUAUUAGGUGCCCACUUGAUUAGAUUGAAGAAUGCCUAGAUGACUGAUAAAGUAUUAUUUCUGUCUGUGUCUGUGAAGGCGUUGCCAGAGGAGGCAGAUAUUUGGUCAGUGGACUGAGAGAGGAAGAUCUACACUCAAUGUGGGUGAGCACCAUCCAGUUGGCUGCCAUUGCAGCUACAACAAAGCAGGUGGAAAAAUGUGAGAUAACCUUGCUUGCCAAAUCUUCUGGCUUCCUUCUUUUCUCAGUGCUGCAUGCCUCCUCCUAUUCCUCCUGCCUUUGGACAUAGGACUUCAGGUUCUUUGGCCUUUGGACACUUGAACUUUUACCAGUGGCCUGCUGGGGACUCUUGGGCCUUUAGCCACAGAAUGAGGGCUGCACUGUCAGCUUCCCUGGUUUUGAGGCUUUCAGACUUGUACUGAGCCACUACCAGCUUUCCUUUUCCCCAGCUAACAGAGGGCCUAUAGUGAGACUUUGUCUUGUAAUUAUGUGAGCCAAUUUUAUAUAAUAAACUUCCUUUCAUAUAUGCAUACAUCCUGUUACUUCUUUUCCUUUGGAGAACGCUGACUAAUACAGAUUUUACUUCCGGGGUAGUUCUGGACAAAAAGAAUUUUAAUGAUGGAUUUCUUUGGUUGGUUCUGGGGUUUCUGGAUUUGGCUCUUUAAAAUCUGAUUAGACCUAAAAGUGCUAAGGACUCUACUUCUAAUAGUAUAGAGAAUAUUGAUAGUCCUUGGUGUGAGUUGUUUACAGUUGUGCAAAAUAAAUGUAUUUGAUACUCCUGAUUUCACUGCUCCUUAGAGGCAAGGAGGUUAGCUAAUCUAUACAUGAUACCUUUCAACAUUUGUAGAGAACCAACAAUACAGUAAAGUUGCUUAGUUGUCUCUAAGUUCAUUGGACAAAGUGUUGAACGAAAAGGAUAAGUUCAGGAAUUCUAUCUUCAGGCUCCAGCAUCACAUACUUAGCCUCAACGCUUCUAAGAUUGCCCACAGUGAGAGUUGAAUCUUCCUUAGACACAGGGCUAAAAUUUUUGAAAAUCAGACAGAAUCUUUUAUCAUGCCAGUGGCUAAUCUACAAGGAAACGUGCAGGCUUAGCCUUGUCAGGUGUCUACAGUUAAAC
rnacentral:lncRNA from 1 species